GCAAGUGCCAGAGCUCUCACAGCUGCAGUUUUCUAGUCGCAGUGCGGCAAAGCAGAUGCCUAGAACUGGGCACAGAGCAGGAUAGGUUUUAUUAUUUUUAUAACCAAAAAAGAGAGAAAAGUAUCUGCUUUAAGCUUCUGUGCGUUUUUUACUUGCCUUGCUAUACGGAGGAGCAGCAUGCCACUUGGAUGUGUCUGUUGGCUCUGACAUUAGCAGCGUCUCUGAACUCAAGCAGACACACUGCUUGGAGCCUUUUACCUAAACUGCCUCAAAUGAAGAAUGAUUGGCUUUUUGCCUUGUAGGUGAACAGGUGCUCCUGCCACCGCAGUAUGCACCUGCAAGGAGCAGGACAAAAGAGGGGAUACCUGUUACUGUUUGGGGCCUUUCUCCCCACAUUUCCUUUCCUCUUCUCCCUUUUUCUUCAGGUGCUGCACCGCUGAAGCCGUCUGAAGUGUCCCAGAGUCAUAUGCCAAUCCUGCUACUAUAAGUAACCACAGUUUUCUCAUAUCGGUGAGAGAAAAAGCUGAAACAGAAAAGCAGCCUCUUUGACCUAAAUCAACACCAGCCCCUUCGGAUGGAUGCAGGGUAGCAGCCAACUAGCAGUGACACGGCCAGCCAUCAAGUGGAGGAUUUCUGGGAUUGCAAUCUAUUUCAGUUUCAGCCUGUGAACGCUCCACUUUUGCUACCCAACUGCUGCUGCUGACUUUUCCCCAUUCAAACAUUUCGUUCCUAUAAGUAACAGCAAUUUGGGUCUCUUAAGUAUACAUUUGUGUGGAUUAGCCUGUCAAGAGAGUAGCCCUCGUCUGCGUCAUGUUGGAAACAAGGGCACUGAAGUCUGCCUGCUCUCACAGUUGUUUCGUUCUGCGUGAUGCUAUGCAGCUAGAAUGGGUUAUACUGACAACAAAGGAAGAAGCACAAACCAUCACUAUAUGCUGGCUUGUUAUUUCAGGGGGAAAGAAAGACAGAACUCUUCUUCAGUGCAGUAUGCUCUUUUUGUUUUUGCAUGCUUAUUUUUGUCUUUGUCUUUUUCUCUUUUUAAAACACCUAAUCAGAGAAUCUCAGAUGCACCGUUGUGGAUGUGGGUUUUUAAAUUGCUGUUGAGGGGAAAGACAGCUCAUGGAAAACUGCGAUUUGAGCCAAGGAUCACAUCUUUUGCAUUCUUGCUGAUCUGAAAUACUCAGGGGCUUUUUCCCCCCGAAGAGGAAAUCCUAAGGGACAAGUUCAGUAACUUAAAAAGCAACCGUAGAUAAAAGAAAUAAAAAUGACAAGCGUAAUGGAGGCUCAGCAGAAGAAACUGUCAGAGAAAUCAGUGCCUGGAUGGCAAUCUUACCCAGUCUGAAUAAUUAUGAAUAAUUCAUAGAACAAAAUUACUCUGCUUUCACCUUUUCCUCAUAAAAUGGCAUGAUUGGAAUCUGUAAUAAAUUUUCAAGAUAAAAUAUAAUGCCAAUUUGAAUCUGAAGAGCUUUUUGCAGCCAGAUGCUACAUCCUGAUUUUUUUCAAUACCUUUCACAAUUAUUCUGUGAAAAACCCACUUCAUCACGAAACACCAUUACCAAUGAAAAUUACUGUGAUUACAAUGGCAACAAUAGAAUGCCAUCAAACAAUUUCUAAUUUACCUAAUUUACAAAGGCUGACAGCACUGGUUUUCACGCCCAAGUCUCCUCGUCAUGCUUGGCACCUUGGAUCCAUAUCAGAAAGAGACGCAAGUGGCUUCGUAAUGUGGAUCGUGUUCAGCACCGUUAACUUCAAGAGCCCAGGAAAAAUCUGAGCAGUCUGUUAAUCAUGGUUAUAGCCAUAUAUGUAACAGGCUUCUUUUCCAGCAUUCUUGAUUGUUUUUGUUUAGCUCCUGGGCACAGGAUGGCACACAGACCUCUACAGAACCAGAAACUACUCUCCAAAGGUUUCUCAGCCAGUUCCUUCAAGCAAAUUGAGAUAUAGACACAAGGGAGAGUGGAUGGACUCUUGGAGAAACUGCCUUCUCUCAGUGUAAGAACAAGAAUUGCAUGAGGAGGUGGCUAAAAGAAGAAGAAGCUGGAGAAGCAGCAGUGUCUCCUAGUGGAUGGAAGG